GCUAAUACCGCAUACGACCUGGAGGUGAAAGGCGGGGACCGAAAGGCCUCGCGCGAUUGGGAGCGGCCGAUGCCGGAUUAGCUAGUUGGUAGGGUAAAGGCCUACCAAGGCGACGAUCCGUAGCUGGUCUGAGAGGACGACCAGCCACACUGGAACUGAGACACGGUCCAGACUCCUACGGGAGGCAGCAGUGGGGAAUUUUGGACAAUGGGCGAAAGCCUGAUCCAGCCAUUCCGCGUGAGUGAAGAAGGCCUUCGGGUUGUAAAGCUCUUUCGGCAGGAACGAAACGGUGAAGGCUAAUAACCUUUACUAAUGACGGUACCUGAAGAAGAAGCACCGGCUAACUACGUG
rnacentral:rRNA from 1 species